rnacentral:rRNA from 1 species
GACGAACGCUGGCGGCGUGCUUAACACAUGCAAGUCGAACGGAAAGGCCCUGCUUUUGUGGGGUGCUCGAGUGGCGAACGGGUGAGUAACACGUGAGUAACCUGCUCUUGACUUUGGGAUAACUUCAGGAAACUGGGGCUAAUACCGUAUAGGAGCUCCUGCUGCAUGGUGGGGGUGGGAAAGUUUCGGCGGGUGGGGAUGGACGCGCGGCUUAUCAGCUUGUUGGUGGGGUAGUGGCUGACCAAGGGUUUGACGGGUAGCCCGCAUGGGAGGGUGACCGGCGACAAUGCGACUGAGGUACGGCCCAGACUGCUACGGGGGGCAGCGGUGGGGAAUAUUGCCCAGUGGGCGGAAGCCUGAUGCAGCAACGCCGCGUGCGGGAUGACGGCCUUCGGGUUGUAAACCGCUUUAGCCUGUGACGAAGCGUGAGUGACGGUAAUGGGUAAAGAAGCACCGGCUAACUACGUG